ensembl:snRNA U2 U2 spliceosomal RNA
AUCACUUCUCAGCCUUUUGGCUAAGAUCAAGUGUAGUAUCUGAAUUCUUUUGGCCUGUUUUAUACACAAAUUCUAAAAGACUUCAAACUGUUAGGCAUAACAUUUCCUUUAAAAUUGACUCCAU